CGGGGUGAGUAAUGUCUGGGAAACUGCCUGAUGGAGGGGGAUAACUGCUGGAAACGGUAGCUAAUACCGCAUAACGUCGCAAGACCAAAGAGGGGGACCUUUGGGCCUCUUGCCAUCGGAUGUGCCCAGAUGGGAUUAGCUAGUAGGUGGGGUAACGGCUCACCUAGGCGACGAUCCCUAGCUGGUCUGAGAGGAUGACCAGCCACACUGGAACUGAGACACGGUCCAG
rnacentral:rRNA from 1 species